GACGUAGGGCGCGAGCGUUGUCCGGAUUUAUUGGGCGUAAAGAGCUCGUAGGCGGCUUGUCGCGUCGAAUGUGAAAUUUUAGGGCUCAACCCUGACAUUGCAUUCGAUACGGGCAGGCUUGAGUUCGGUAGGGGAGACUGGAAUUCCUGGUGUAGCGGUGAAAUGCGCAGAUAUCAGGAGGAACACCGGUGGCGAAGGCGGUUCUCUGGGAAUAUCCUGACGCUGAGGAGCGAAAGUGUGGGGAGCGAACAGG
rnacentral:rRNA from 1 species